ensembl:lncRNA
GGUCAACGGACAGCUCUUUUCACAUAACUGAUGUGGAUGCAAAGCACAAUGCGGAUUUGAUCAGAUCAGGAGCAAGCAUGUAGAGCGGAGCAGAUGAAGGACUUGAGCUGACUUUGCUGCCAAAAGCAAUACUACAUGGAUCUACACCCUUAAUGUGUUAUGUAGCAUGGUCACGAGGGGAAAAAACGCUGUGUUCUUUUCAUGAUAGAGGAAGAAAAAUGAGAAUUGGAAAUUCCAGAGGUGACAUGUUACAACUUGAGGACAAUCCUCAAAUCAGUAUAGUAGUAACCAAAAAGAAUCUUAGCAAUUCAAGAGAUGCACUAACAGUAAAGAGUCCCUUCACCAGUAGCAUCUGCAGUAUUGGAAUCCUAAGUAUUUCAAAAAACCCACAAUUACGUUUAUCAACUUAUAACCAGCCUAUAAGAACUGUCAGAGUGAGAUUUUUGCAUUUGUCCCCCUGUCAGCACCACAGCUGGGGAGCGAGAAAACUCAUGCCUUCACACCGCAGCAAUGUAACUUGUCUCUUGUUUUGGGCAUUAUCUGAUGUGUCAAAAUCUGAGGCCAGAAGGACACGUUAAAAACCCUGACCAGCAAUCACACGUAGUAGCAAGAUCCGCUCCUGUGAUGGUGAAGGGUACCUUUCACAUGACUUCACGCAUGUGAACGAGUCACAUAACCUGGGGACACUGCAUACAAAUCUUAUCACUGGACUCAUGAAACCUCCUACGCCAACAGACUGAGAAGACUGACCAUGAAGAACAACUUGAUCAAACUGUGUGCAAGCUUAUUACAGUAAAAUUUCAGGUACAAUGAACUUUUCCUAGACCACACGUAUAUGCUGUAGGAUAUCUUCUAUUCAUUAUGGAAGGUAUUUCGCCCACUUUUCCGAUGCCUUUAAAAAGACUUGGACCUUGUUGAACUGCCCACAGAUUGACCUUUGGACGACACAUUUCCAAAAGACACAUUUUCUUUCCAGAAAGCAGACUUCUAGGUGCUUAUUCCCACCUAUAAGAAAGCUUUAUGGAAGAAGGCAAGAUGUACUCUUUCAGGACCAGCUUCUACACUGCUCAGGGUUUUUACUCAUGAAAAACCACAGUGGUGAUGCUGAAUAACGAAAGAACAUAUCAUCUAUCAUCAAAUUAAGUUUAACGGAAAUCAGUUACAUUAUUGUACUAGGCACAAAUUACGCAGUUUCAUUGUUAUUAUGUUUAUGUGGCAAAAGAAUUAAACAAAUAGCCAUUUUGACGAUGGAGCUCUAAUCUCUACAGAGGGCAGCUCCGAUAUGAGGUUCAAAAUUUGCCUCAUUUACAUUCAGCUGUAGUGCUGCAAUGUUUAGUUCUGUUAAACAGUGCUUUGGUUAUAUCAGCACUUUCAAGAAAUUUUGCAUAGUGUGUUCAACAACAGAACAGUUCUUAUCACAGUGGCACCUACACAAAAUGUAGAUAGUACAAGGGGGUGGAGGAGAAUAUUUAAAAGUGGAUUUAUGACAUUGCUCUGGUGCUAGAGCUGCAGCAGUAUAUUUUGUAAAAAUCAGCAGUCUAAAAAAAUGACUACUCCACGUGCUGUAGCCAGAAUUACCUAGACUUCAUUUGGCUACCCAGACGUAUCAUUACUCUGUUUACAAAUUUGUCUAUAACCUUUGACUCGUUAGCCCAUAUAUGUCCUUUUUCCCAUAAUAAGAGUUAAGAAAAAGCAUACAUCAAAAAUUGUAUUAUAUUUUACAUAUAUUUUUCUUUUUCUAAAGAAAUGCAGCACAGCUUUUUAAACCAAUAAGACUGACAGGCUAUUUUCUUUUCCAAAGUUAUAAAUCAGAAAAAAGGAAAGUUUGUCAUAAGGCAGCAGAUUUUUUCUGGAAACAAAUGGCCUAAAACCAGCAUGAGAAGAAAUAUCCAAUUGAAUAAACUCUCUAGGGGGCUGCUAAAUGGGGUUCGA